AUGAGGGAGGGAGUCAGAGCCAGGGGGCCCGGAGAGCAAGGAGCCAGGCACAGCCAAGGCUAUGCACACACGCACAACUACACAUGCUUUCCUGACGUGAAACAGAUGGGCAGUGGACCGAGUCAUCAUCAGUCACAGACUCAGAACCUUCUCCCGGUCACGCACUUCGCACAUCGUUACAAGUGGCCAUGGAUGUACGGACACAGAACCACGAGCCACUGCGACCCCUCAUGAUGAGUCUUUUUUUUUGUGGCCAAUCCAAGUUGCCCAUCCCUGGUCUAUAGAGCUCCGCUCCACGGUUCUCUAGGGGGGCCCCUUGACGGAGAUGAGAGUCUAAGGAGGGUAGAAUUGUUAUGUUUGCAUCCCAAAUGGCAGCUUAUUCGCUACGUAGUGCACUACUUUUGACCUGGGCCCAUAGCGCAUAUUAAACCAAUGUACUGCAUUACUUUUGACAAAGCCUGUAGGGCUCUGAUCAAAAGUAGUGCACUAUGUUAGGAAUAAGGUGCCUUGUUUCCUCUCCAGGAUGAUCAAUACAUUUCCUGUUCUGAAAACUUUUAUGAAAGUUUGCCGGUCCUUUUGACUGGUUUCAUUUGCGCUGGCUAAAACAUAUCUUCUGAGUCAGCCAUAGCUGGUUAGUGUGCACCUUUAAGCCACACUGAUAAGACAGUCAGUGAUCCUAAGUGUGUAAAUAGGGAUUGUCUGUAAAGUUUAAAUCACACGGAGAGACGCUGUCAACGGCGACAAAAUUUGCAUGCGAGAAUAGAGAGCGUCAAUUCACAUACACUGUGUAGAGUAUGCCAACCUAAUUGUCAUGAUAAACAUUUGUAUUUGUUAUGUUCGCUAUGUAACCCUGGUAAAUUAUUGUUGUGUGUUUUGACUCACCUUAUAUGUCCUACGAGAGCCAGCGUACCUGCCUGCGCUAAACAGUUAUUUUGUUAGCUUACGAACGUGAGAGUUGUAGCUAGUACAGCUGAGCAGUUUCUAAAGAAUUUAGCUAGUCUCGUUUGUUUACAUGACAGUAUUCUCUCUUGAAAUCAGAGUUCCUCUAGUUUCUCUGCCGUAGCCUGCCUAGGUUAUACAGGUAGGCUGCAAUGGUUUUAGAAUAUGCAGCCUAUUUGACUGACAAACCUUAGUUUACAGCCUAAUACAUUUUAAACAACAUCUUUAGUCUACUUAAUUAACAUAGGGUAGAUCAUAAUUCCUCCAACUCCGUUUAUACAAACGAUCCACGCAAUUGAUCAGCUUAUUUUACCAGCAUUGCUCCCCUGUGAAAAACAGACUUGCUUUUUCAUUUCAUACGCUACGAUGCCAUAGCAGACACUCGCAGCGGAGUUGUGCAUUCUAAAUCCAGCAUGCACACGCUGGAUUUGGGUUUAAGGCUAAAUGGAUGUGGAUAUGUCACCGAGAGCAACAAUACCCAGAUUUAGCAAUUUAGAGAUAGUUUGUGGGCAGUAUUGUCACACACUUAUGAAACAGUGAGGAAGGGUGCUAAUUAGAUACACUUACAAAACUCUGUGAAGUGCAGUGUGCUAGAAAGCUGGAUUGUUUUUACAAAUUGGCAGCUGACACGUACAGGACCCUGCCGGACAUGCUGCAGGACCCUGCUAGCAGUUCAUAGAUUAGUUAGGCAGCUCAGAUAGGUUGAGGAGCAGAUAGAGAACAAACAGUUGGCCCAUACUGUAUCCUCCCUCUAGCAGGUGUCCAUAAGACCUUGGACAUAAGGGAGAGGCAUGCAAUAUCAAAACCAAGGACACGUGGAUAACCCCUUAUCGUAUACAUUCAGGGUUUCCACAGGCUUUUUUGUUGCCUGUUCUGCAUGAUAUUUUGGCAAUAAUACGUGUCACAUAUAAGUUUGCAAACAAUGUAAAAUAAUAAUAAUUCAGUUAAUACAAACAUGGUUUCUUCUUCUCUUUCUUGGUAAGGCAGCUCCAAAAUGCAGGUGUUUCAGCUAACCUCAGUGCUUUCUGUGGUGGUGGGGCAGCCAACGGAAAAAACGGAGCGUAAGGGGUUGGUAAAUGUUCUCUAGUUGCGCCGUGAUUGGCUCAGUGUUCUGUCACUCUUGGGGACACUAGGUCAAUGCAAAAUGUACGGGAGAGCUCGAAAAUUCAAGCGCCUUGGGUGCUGUCAUGAAGCCACAGAUAAAAGGACAUAAAAUCACGUUAGAUCUACCGUAGCUCUGAUUACACUGAUCAUGUCAACAUCAUACUUUCAAAAUCUUAGCUAGCAAGCUAACAGUCAUCAUCAUGAAUCAAGUCGACAAUCUACUGGCAAAUCCUUUUCAAUCCUUGUCAUAUGAAGAGAAAUUAUAGAUAAAACGUAUCGGUGCUCAUUGGCCAUUGGACAUAAACAUUACACAACAAACGGGAAAUUGCAAAUUCAACAAUGAGUGAUUUGGAAGGAAUCAGUGGCUAACUGCAAGCGUUGCAAAGCAAUCUCACGCCUGCUAUUUGAUGGAGAGGGUGUGUGGUCCAAGUCUGGGUUUUUCCAAGCUUAAAUGGAUAAACAUUCAACAUUGGCCAUGCUGUCAAUCCAGCAUGAUUUAUGCCGUGUUCAAACCAACUAGAAACUCAGAACUGGGAAAUCUCAGACUUCAGUGAGUUCAAGACAACUGGGAACUUGGGGAAAAAAUAAGCUCAGACUGGGAAAAUACACUUUGAACGGUCAUCCAACUCGAAAAUUAGGCUGAAUGAAUUGUUUCGCUGCGAGACAAGGCUCGCUGAUAGCCAGGUAUAGCAGUGGUAAGGAUUCGCUCCAUGGUGCUGAAAAGAAAGCUCUGCUGUUGAGACAGUUUUAUGUAGGUGUAACAGGGUUGGUUAUGUUUCCACUUGCCUCUAAAGAAAUGUGUAUUUCAUGUUCAAGCAUUCUUAUUGGUUAGUUCAAUUCCGAUGACAAUAAGGCGUGUUGUUAUUGGCCCCGCUUGCAGAUAGGGGGAGAUCGCAAACGUCAGGUCUCUCCAGUAUGAAAAUGUAAUUCAAGGGUAGGUCACAAUCUGAAUACUGUAUUCUAUUUUUAUAUUUUACAAUGUGUACAGUACAAGUUUGCUGUACAUUCCUGAUUCAUACAUGUGUGGGUAUAUGGUACCUGUUAGGGAUUGAGGGGCUUUCUGGGAUGUAAUUUCAGUAUAUGAUUGCUGUAUAUAAGUGUGUUAGCUAGCAUGCACUGAAGUAAUGGUCACAUAAGCUCACUGCUAAUUUUACCAUUGACAGCCAUCAACAUCAUUAAGCUCUGCACAACUAACGUGCUGUUUCCUAUUUAACUACAAGUAUUUACAAGGUAUAUUUUGUAUUGUAUUUUGUUUAUGCCCAGUAUGAAAAUGUGAUGCAAGGGAUUUUACCAUCGACAGCCAUCAACACCAUUAAGACCUGCACAACUAAUGCGCUGUUUCCUAUUCAACUACAGAUAAUAAAUAAUGCUCAACUGGGACCUCCGGCUGGGGUGAUUUCUUUGAACACAAAGCAAGGAGAGUACGAUUAGCAUCUGUUACAUAGGCCCUAACAGUUUGUGGGCACCGUUAUAGUGCAAUUAAUGUAUUGUUUAAUGUUGUGUAGUGGCUUUGCUGGCAUGCAUCUAAAACAUGUUUGGGGAGUUUGCCCCACCAAGAUUUACAUGCUAAAAUCGCCACUGCUUACUGUAACACUUAAAAAGGCUGCAAAGAAAUGACUGAGGUAAAAACUUUGCUAAAACACCAGUCAAUUAAGACAAAAUUAGCUGACCAAUCAGAACACUCAAAUAAUUACACACAUGACUGCAAUGCUUGAAUGGGUGGAAAAGUACUAGGAACUGGAUGGUUUGGUAAAUGACUGAUGAAAGAAACAUACACAAAACAACUUGCUCUUAAGAAAAUACUUGAAUAAAUGUGCAACAAAUAAAUAUUGUACCAUGAAGUGGCUCCUUAAU
ensembl:lncRNA